rnacentral:tRNA from 1 species
AAGAAGUGGAAUAUUUAGUUCUGAGCUUCUAACUCAGUCACUUAGUGGUGUAAUUCCAUUAACUCUUCA